UACGUAGGCAGCAAGCGUUGUUCGGAAUUACUGGGCGUAAAGGGCUCGUAGGCGGCCAACUAAGUCAGACGUGAAAUCCCUCGGCUUAACCGGGGAACUGCGUCUGAUACUGGAUGGCUUGAGUUUGGGAGAGGGAUGCGGAAUUCCAGGUGUAGCGGUGAAAUGCGUAGAUAUCUGGAGGAACACCGGUGGCGAAGGCGGCAUCCUGGACCGGCAUUGACGCUGAGGAGCGAAAGCCAGGGGAGCAAACGGG
rnacentral:rRNA from 1 species